GUCACGCACAUGAACAUAACAUCGUAAAAGAGUGUAAAGUAAGUUAUUUACUAAAAUUGACAAGUGAAAAGUGUAAAGAGCUAAAAAAAAGGGGAAAAGAGAGAAUGGGAACAGAGGAUAGAAAGGCAUGAAAAGGGGUUAAGUAGGUAGUAAAAGUAAAAGCAAUAGGAAGGAAGGAAAGUACAGAAGAUAGAUGAGUGAGCAUCAAGUUACCAUGAGC
rnacentral:lncRNA from 1 species